rnacentral:rRNA from 1 species
GACGAACGCUGGCGGCAGGCUUAACACACGCAAGUCGAACGCCCCGCAAGGGGAGUGGCAGACGGGUGAGUAACACGUGGGAACGUGCCCUAAGGUUUGGAAUAUUCCCGGGAAGCUGGGAGCAAUACCAAAUGUGUCCGCAAGGAGAAAGCUUUAUCGCCUUAGGAUCGGCCCGCGUCAGAUUAGGUAGUUGGUGGGGUAAUGGCCUACCAAGCCGACGAUCUGUAGCUGGUCUGAGAGGACGACCAGCCACACUGGGACUGAGACACGGCCCAGACUCCUACGGGAGGCAGCAGUGGGGAAUUUUGGACAAUGGGCGCAAGCCUGAUCCAGCCAUGCCGCGUGGAUGAUGAAGGCCCUAGGGUUGUAAAAUCCUUUCGUUGGGGACGAUAAUGACGGUACCCAAAGAAGAAGCUCCGGCUAACUUCGUGCCAGCAGCCGCCGUAACAC